rnacentral:rRNA from 1 species
AGCGAACGCUGGCGGCAGGCUUAACACAUGCAAGUCGAACGGGCGUAGCAAUACGUCAGUGGCAGACGGGUGAGUAACGCGUGGGAACGUACCUUUUGGUUCGGAACAACCCAGGGAAACUUGGGCUAAUACCGGAUAAGCCCUUACGGGGAAAGAUUUAUCGCCGAAAGAUCGGCCCGCGUCUGAUUAGCUAGUUGGUGUGGUAACGGCGCACCGAGGCGACGAUCAGUAGCUGGUCUGAGAGGAUGAUCAGCCACAUUGGGACUGAGACACGGCCCAAACUCCUACGGGAGGCAGCAGUGGGGAAUAUUGGACAAUGGGCGCAAGCCUGAUCCAGCCAUGCCGCGUGAGUGAUGAAGGCCCUAGGGUUGUAAAGCUCUUUUGUGCGGGAAGAUAAUGACGGUACCGCAAGAAUAAG